GAUUGUACCAUUGCAAGAGAGAUUUAUGGUUGGCGAGAGCUAGCAACUCAACUGAAUAUUUGGAAAUUGGCCGCAAAUGGAGCUAUGUUUGGCAAGAGGACCUAACACAAGGGGACGUAAAAUUAUUCCAAUUUUUUGAUAGUGGCCAACUCAAAAGAGAUAAUCCCUAUAAUGGCACAUGUUGAAACUUAAAUCCAACUCUAUGCAGCUAGCCAUGAUGACAGCUUCUCUCUCUCUCUCUCUCUCUCUCCC
rnacentral:lncRNA from 1 species